UAAUUAUUAGUUUAAAUAAAAUAUUAAUUUUGUAAAUUAAAGAUAUAUAAUUUUAUAUAAUUAA
rnacentral:tRNA from 1 species